rnacentral:rRNA from 1 species
GGCCUCGGAUCAGGUGGGGAUACCCGCUGAACUUAAGCAUAUCAAUAAGCGGAGGAAAAGAAACCAACAGGGAUUGCCUCAGUAACGGCGAGUGAAGCGGCAACAGCUCAAAUUUGAAAUCUGGCUCACGCCCGAGUUGUAAUUUGUAGAGGAUGUUUCGGGUGAAGCCGCGGUCCAAGUCCCUUGGAACAGGACGUCAUAGAGGGUGAGAACCCCGUACCUGGCCGCCGGUGCCCCCCGCUGUGAAACUCCUUCGACGAGUCGAGUUGUUUGGGAAUGCAGCUCUAAAUUGGUGGUAAAUUCCAUCUAAAGCUAAAUACCGGCCAGAGACCGAUAGCGCACAAGUAGAGUGAUCGAAAGAUGAAAAGCACUUUGAAAAGAGAGUUAAAAAGUACGUGAAAUUGUUGAAAGGGAAGCGCUUGCGGCCAG